rnacentral:rRNA from 1 species
GUGGCUCGUGUCAGCUGCUCCGGGCGCCACCUCCCACCCGUGACUACCUAACACUGUUGCUUCGGCGGGGAGCCCUCUCGGGGGCGAGCCGCCGGGGACUACUGAACUUCAUGCCUGAGAGUGAUGCAGUCUGAGUCUGAAUAUAAAAUCAGUCAAAACUUUCAACAAUGGAUCUCUUGGUUCCGGCAUCGAUGAAGAACGCAGCGAACUGCGAUAAGUAAUGUGAAUUGCAGAAUUCAGUGAAUCAUCGAGUCUUUGAACGCACAUUGCGCCCCCUGGCAUUCCGGGGGGCAUGCCUGUCCGAGCGUCAUUGCUGCCCAUCAAGCCCGGCUUGUGUGUUGGGUCGUCGUCCCCCCCGGGGGACGGGCCCGAAAGGCAGCGGCGGCACCGUGUCCGGUCCUCGAGCGUAUGGGGCUUUGUCACCCGCUCGAUUAGGGCCGGCCGGGCGCCAGCCGACGUCUCCAACCAUUUUCUUCAGGUUGACCUCGGAUCAGGUAGGGAUACCCGCUGAACUUAAGCAUAUCAAUAAGCGGAGGAA